GCCCGCGUAGCUCAAUCGGUAGAGCGUGAGACUCUUUAAUCUCAAGGCUGCGGGUUCGACCCCCGCCGUGGGCU